GUUGGCCAGCUUAUGUGUGUAAAGUGGAAGUAAACAAGCAAAAAGUGAUAAAUUUUCAAACGUACCGUUUUCUUCGAUUUUAGUAUUGCUGGUUGAAAUGGAUCCUUCAAAAGGUGAUACGUGCACUGUGUUGAACUUGUCGGAUGUUUUCAACUACGCUUCCGGAGGAAACCGUUAAGUUAGUUGGAGUAGAAGAGAUCUACAAUGAUGGAUUUGUCUUAUAUUCGACUUGGUUACAGUCAUUCUCUCCAACUGUCGAGCCGCACGCAAUAAAAGUUUGCACUAGAAGUGAGCUUUCUGAUUGAUUAUUUUCAUGUUCUUUCAAAGCCAGUAAAUAAACAUGCAAACAUGAGAUGGCUAUUUUGAAUCAUUUAUUAAGAAACACGACUCUAUAGAACGAUUAACAUCCAACGAGAUUACAACGAACAGCGCUAAGAUAUUCCGAACCGAUAACAUCAUGCUUGAGGACAUUUGGGAUUAAUUCAUUAAGUAUAUUUUAUUGUCA